GUUCCUUGUGGAAAACAAUCUACUCCAAGCAGAACAACAGGGAUGCUGAAAAGGUUCCACGGGCCCUGGGGAAGUUGACGGCCUCGAUCUACUCUCGAACUCGGAAGGGGCGAAACGGACCACCUUUCUCCCGAUCAGAGGCGACCGUAUAUCGCAGCCAUUGCGACGCGACGAAUGCACGGUGCCAAGUGGGCCACUUUUGGUAAGCAGAACUGGUGAUGUGGGAUGAACUGAACGUCCGGCUAAGGUGCCCUACGCUUCGCCCAUUAUAUUACCGAAAGGGUGUCGGUCGAUAUAGACAGCAGGACGGUGGCCACGGAAGUCGGAAUCCGUUCAGGAGUGUGUAACAAUU
rnacentral:ncRNA from 1 species